GUAAGCGGGCUGUGCUUCCCCUACAGCUGCAAGCCCAGAGCGCGGCCCCUGCAGCCUGGUGGAGCUGGCCUUGCAGGAGGGGGUCGGGCCGAACCGCUCUCCCAGCUUCCCAAGCACGCCUGGGCGCUGUGCAGGGGGGGAAUAAUUAUUUCUCUUCCCUAGCCAUAAAAAAUGACCGGUCUAGUAUGCCCUUGCCAUUUUGCCAGGGCCCAAAAAAACAAGUCAAACCUGAUAGUUAAUAUUUUAAUGCUUAAAAACACUUGUAGAUCUGAUCGACUCCCGUCCGGCAAGCCCUCGGCCAUUAGCACCGAAUCCACGGCUGCUGAACAGUGGGUGCGUUAUUUCAAAUUGCUAUCUAGAGUUACCGAAAAAGAAAAAACAAAAGUCGUGUGUGUAAAUAAGGGGUAUGGGGACCAAACCGGAGAAGGUGUAAAAUGGCAAUCCCGGGAAGCCGGGCACAAACGCGUCUUGCGUCCAGAGAUUCGUAAUCCAGGCUUCUUAGAAGAGGGAGGGAGGGAUGAGGAGGAGGGGGUUCAGGGUGAGGGCAGGGGGCAGAGGCCGGUGGGGGAGGGGAUGAGCCGUCUUAACAAAUGUCAGGGUUGGGGCGCGGGACGGACGCUGCAGGAAGCGCCCCCGGAGCCCGGCACCCCGCGCUGCCCUGGGGCCCCCAAAGUUGGCUGGCCGGCGAUUGGCGACCCACUCCCUGGAAGGAGAGGCGCCCCGCCUCCCUCGGCCCCUGAACCUCCUUGAGCCCAAACGCCCUGGUCUCUGGCCCCCCCAGGGCCCACGAAGGGCCUACACGGAAGCUGGCGAGCGCAGACCCCGCCAUACAAACCAAGGCGCCAAAAUUCCUUAGAAAUACACAAGUCUGCUCCGAGGAAGCCAUCCGGCUGCACGCAAACCCAGAACCCGGGCUGCAGGGGCCUCCCCGCCCCGCUCUGCCCCGCUGCCCCGCGCGGCCCAGGAGAGCCCUCAGCCAGCGCACCAGGCAGCCGAGCCCGCCACGGCGCCCAGGGCGCUUGCGGCCCUGCGGGUUGCCAAAGAAAAGGGCUCCUCAGAGCCCCCAAGUUUGCGGUGGGACCAAUCUGGGAAGUGUGACCUUCCAGUGGAAGGAGGAAGGAGGGCCGAGAGCCCGCGAUCGCCACUAGAAAGCUAAAUACACAGCCGCCCGUUAAGAGAAAGCCAAGACGCCUCUCCAGAGCCCCCGGCUCUGCGCGCUCGCCAGUUCUCAAGUCCAACGCCUGGAGGAAACCCACUCUCUACCCCGGGCGUCGGGCGCAGCACAGUCACUCGGGGCCCGCAGCGGCAGCCAAGGGGUUAACCGGGAAAGCCCAAGACGCCACAGAAGAGGGAAGGAAGAGAAGGAGAGAGAGCAAAGAAAGAGCCACACAGUCAUCUUCCCAGGGUGAAGAAACAACCACCGCCACCAAAGGGGGAGGGGGAACCAGAGCGCAAAAGAAAAGUUCUUCGGACCCCCCCCCCCACAACAAAGCCCUGCUUGGACAGAGAGGUCUCCCCAACAUCACGAGGCAGCAAACUGAAAGCAAGAACGUGGCGAAGUGCAAACAAAUCCAGUCCACAAAAGGCAGAAAACAACAUUUGCCAAGCCCAGGAAACAGAUAAAAAAAACCCCACCAGCCCGAGGGGCUUUUCCUACCUCGGAAUCGGAGGAGCUGUUUUGAUUCGUUUCUGAUUCAUUGACUAGAGACGAUUUGACAUCAGCUAAAUCCCUCUCUGCCGAGGAGUUUUCGGAGCUCUUCUCCUCCUGUUCGCCCUCGUCUUUGAAGGAAAUCAGUUCGUCGUUGGCGCCUAGGUCAUCCCCUCCACCGCCGUUCAGCUGCGGCAUUUUUUUUCACCCACCAGCAGCAAUUUUGGAAGAAAAAUGAAGGAGGAAGAAAACCAAAAAAAA